UGCCGCCGCUAACAGGCUGGGGCCCCGAGCCGGCCUCGGGUCUCGCGCCGCGCGGGCAUCCUGCUCGCGCCCUCCACGGCCUGGGGGCCGCGAGACGGCGCAGGGAGUCCAGCCAGGAGCUUCCUGUCCACCGAAGACAGGGAACGGUUUCGCCCACUCCGUGCUACCCCCAUCCAAACCCGCGGCGCCGGGACUCUGGGGCAGUCCGGGCCUCAGCGCGCGAUCACCGCCGCGGUGGAGGGACCGCUCCCGGCACUUCCCGGCAGGAGGACUCCGUGAGGCCACCCACAUCAUGGACAGGCGACACCAGGGCCCCCCAGAGUCAGAGCAGCCUGCCGGCCCCCUCAGCGGACUCUAGGCCUUGUGCGGGAGCGCCAGGGUUUGUGUGUGUGUGUGUGUGUGUGUGUGUGUGUGUGUGUUGCGCAGCGAGGAUCCAGCUGUGUGGCUGUGGGCCUGGGGUCGCCCUAGUCCUCCCGCCACGCCGCCGGCCUCUCGGUUCCUCCUAAGCUCCUCACCGUGGGCUCCGGGCCCGGCACCCUGGUGGGUCGCCGGGCUUGGACACAAGGAGUAGAAACAUCGGGAAAGCAGGAACCGGUCGCGCGCGCUGGCGGCGGCCUGGGUGGGGGCGGUGGUCUUUGUACCCAACAGUCGUGGAGCGCCCGAGGGCCGGCCCAGAGAGGGUGCAUUUGCAAUAACAAGGAUCCCGGUGACCAGCACUGUUCCAUCUCUGCCGGAGAGGCGAGGAACAUUCCCCGAGGGUGCUCCGCGCCGGCUGUGCGCGCGAUCGGGGCCGACCUUCCAAGGAGAGGGCUUUGCGCACGGCUCAGCCGCGGACCAGGGAGGCCUUCACCCCUCCUGGGCGUCUCCCAAAACCUCCCUGGGCCAGUGGCAACGACUGCGCGCCUCGGGGUGUUCGGAAACCUCGCUCUCGGCCACUUCCUAGAAUUUCUAGAAGUACGUUUGCAAGGACCCAUGGCUUCCGGCGCAGAGGAAUGCCAGCGCUGGCCCCGGCGGCGGCGGCGGAGCGAGCCCGGGGAGUGGAGAGGCUGUCCAGCCACAUUCCGGCCGAGCCUCCCCGGCCCCUGCCCUGCGCGGCGCCGCAGGAAGCGCCUCGGAAAACAAAGCGCUGCGGUUCGAGCCCGAGGUGACGUUUGUGACUCACACGCUCUACACGCUCAUAAGAAGGGUCCCCGAGACCCAGAGAUGGGGGCCACCCAGCCAGGUGCACGCCGCAGGCCGGCCCAGACUUGCUCAGCGCCCAGGAUCCCUCCCCACCCCCGUGACACCCAAGGGAGGGGAUGGCAGGGCUCCUGCAAGGAGACUGCUCCCGGGGUCUCCCCCUCGCUCCCACGCUCCCUCCAUCUCACUCACACACACACGGCCCCUCUCCUCACCUCCCUCACGCCCGCCCACCCUCCCUGGCUUCUUUUUUUUUUUCUUUUUAUUCUGUGGCAUUUUCUUUGAAGCAGAAAAUAAAAACAUUUCCCAUGGCA
rnacentral:lncRNA from 1 species